GGGGGCGAAUGGGCUCGACAGAAGGGCUGUAGUCAGUGCUGCAUGCCGGGUCGGGCAGCCCGUAAAAAGCCCACCUAAGAAGUGCGAACGAAGUAGCACUCGCUGCAUAAGCAGCAAGCUUCCCUUUCCUGUUCCCUGUUGCGGGAAUGGGAAGUUGAAUUAAGACAGGGCUGAGGGCAGGGAAUUCCCGAGCCCUUCCCUCAGAAAGAAGUCGGGAUAGUCAUUUUUCUCCCUGCUCCAUCGGGAGGAAAAUGGCGAAAUUGAAAUAUGGAGAUAAGCAUGUAGAUGCACUGAUGAAAACCUUCUGGACGGGGGUUCAAUUCCCCCCGCCUCCACCA
rnacentral:tmRNA from 1 species